UUGCAGAGCUGUGACAGACAAGUCCUGCACGCAGAGGCUGGCUACAGCUGUCCCUGCAGACAUCCCCUAGGUACAGGCAUGAUAAAAGAGGCAAAAUACACCCACCCUUCUGCUGCUUCUCUGGGGAGGAGAGAGCAACUUGGGCAGAUUCUUCAUGCUGGGGCCUCGGGAAAGCCUGGGGAGAGCUGGAUCCAUCCAAACAUGCAUCCAUGUCCACUCACAGCUCAACUCUGCCCUGAAGCCCUCUGCUGUCCCCAGCAGAACUGUGGGGGCAGAAGAGCUCACUGGAACCAUGGACACUUGCAGCCUAAGGCACUUCAGCUUCAGGGAGCAGCAGGGCCUCUGGACUCGAAGAGCUCGCAGCCCUCCAGCGCCCCAGGAUCCAGCAUGUAAAGGUUGGACCAUUUGACUCGACACUCACCUCCAGAGCAGCUGCCAGCCCUGUCCCCAUGCUCAGCCACGUCAGCCCCGCUGGGGGAAGAAGGACUCCAUGUGAUCCCUCCUGUUCUGUUCCACAUCAAGUAGCAGCACAUCCUAGGCGAGGAGCUUCUGCUUAAUUUGUGUACACAAACAAUCAGGGGGAACCCAGGUGCUGUCUGCAAGAGCUACUCACCAUCGACAGUCACACACCAGUGAGGGCCACACACCAGCGACAGCCCACGCUGGCCCACGGCAAGGGCAGCAGCUGCCGCCUGGGGCUGUGCCUAAUUGGCGUCGGCUGCUGCAGUUUGCUCAGCUCUCGAUGGACGUGAGGCUGUGGCACAAACACUUCAGCCAAGGACACUCCACGAGGAGGCAAAACAUUUUAAAAGGGAAAGAGGCUCUAGCUGGGGUACAGCCAGUAACAUGCAAAUGCAAACCAUGAAUGCUGUGGCCAAAGCAAGGAGAUCUACUGCAACAAAAUGGAAAGAGAGUCUGCUCCUUCCCAACACUGUCAGCAACACAGCUCUUUAAUCUGCUCAGAGACUUUUUUUCACCCUCCAGAAUAAAUUAGGAAGUGGGUAAAGGAUCCAAGAGAUAAAACCACAGAGGAACUCGCCAGAGUUUUUGUAUGUUAAGUCCACUCCCCUAAACAAAACGAACAUUUAAAACAA